CGGCAGGCCUAACACAUGCAAGUCGAACGGUAACAGGAAGAAGCUUGCUCUUGCUGACGAGUGGCGGACGGGUGAGUAAUGUCUGGGAAACUGCCUGAUGAGGGGGAUAACUACUGGAAACGGUAGCUAAUACCGCAUAACGUCGCAAGACCAAAGAGGGGGACCUUCGGGCCUCUUGCCAUCGGAUGUGCCCAGAUGGGAUUAGCUUGUUGGUGGGGUAACGGCUCACCAAGGCGACGAUCCCUAGCUGGUCUGAGAGGAUGACCAGCCACACUGGAACUGAGACACGGCCCAGACUCCUACGGGAGGCAGCAGUGGGGAAUAUUGCACAAUGGGCGCAAGCCUGAUGCAGCCAUGCCGCGUGUAUGAAGAAGGCCUUCGGGUUGUAAAGUACUUUCAGCGGGGAGGAAGGGAGUAAAGUUAAUACCUUUGCUCAUUGACGUUACCCGCAGAAGAAGCACCGGCUAACUCCGUGCCAGCAGCUGC
rnacentral:rRNA from 1 species